UUUUGAUAUUCCAAUAUUCAUUUCAUAUUGUCACUAAGUAUCAUCUCCAAACAUGAAUAUGAUUUCAUUCAAGUUGACCCUUGUGUUCACACUCUUGCUCCUUUCCAGAGGUUAUGCACCUUCAGUGACACCAUGUAAGGAAACAGUAAAUUGCAAUAUUAGGUGCAGAGACAAUGAGACACCAAUUUGUGCACACGGCACUUGCUACUGUCAACGUUGCAACUUAUUCCCACCACCAGAUUUUUUGUCUUCUGAUCAAUCUUUUGUAAACCAAAAAUGCACUCUUUAUCCUCAGGAUCCCAGUUGUAAAAAGUAGUAUAUAUGUAUAUGAAUAUUUUGUGAUCCUCAUACAAAUAUUAAUAUUGAAAAUGAGAUUUUUAAUCUUA